ACGCGCGGAACCUUACCAGGUCUUGACAUCCCGCUGACCGGUCUGGAGACAGAUCUUCCCCUUCGGGGGCAGCGGUGACAGGUGGUGCAUGGUUGUCGUCAGCUCGUGUCGUGAGAUGUUGGGUUAAGUCCCGCAACGAGCGCAACCCUUGAUCUUAGUUGCCAGCAUUAAGUUGGGCACUCUAAGGUGACUGCCGGUGACAAACCGGAGGAAGGUGGGGAUGACGUCAAAUCAUCAUGCCCCUUAUGACCUGGGCUACACACGUGCUACAAUGGAUGGUACAAAGGGCAGCAAAACCGCGAGGUCGAGCAAAUCCCAUAAAACCAUUCUCAGUUCGGAUUGUAGGCUGCAACUCGCCUACAUGAAGCUGGAAUCGCUAGUAAUCGCGGAUCAGCAUGCCGCGGUGAAUACGUUCCCGGGCCUUGCACACACCGCCCGU
rnacentral:rRNA from 1 species